UACACUCCUGCGGGAGGCAGCAGUGGGGAAUUUUGGACAAUGGGCGAAAGCCUGAUCCAGCAAUGCCGCGUGAGUGAAGAAGGCCUUCGGGUUGUAAAGCUCUUUUGUCAGGGAAGAAACGGUGAAAGCUAAUAUCUUUUGCUAAUGACGGUACCUGAAGAAUAAGCACCGGCUAACUACGUGCCAGCAGCCGCGGUAAUACGUAGGGUGCAAGCGUUAAUCGGAAUUACUGGGCGUAAAGCGUGCGCAGGCGGUUUUGUAAGUCUGAUGUGAAAUCCCCGGGCUCAACCUGGGAAUUGCAUUGGAGACUGCAAGGCUAGAAUCUGGCAGAGGGGGGUAGAAUUCCACGUGUAGCAGUGAAAUGCGUAGAUAUGUGGAGGAACACCGAUGGCGAAGGCAGCCCCCUGGGUCAAGAUUGACGCUCAUGCACGAAAGCGUGGGGAGCAAACAGGAUUAGAAACCCCGGUAGUCCCA
rnacentral:rRNA from 1 species